rnacentral:rRNA from 1 species
AUUGAACGCUGGCGGCAUGCCUUACACAUGCAAGUCGAACGGCAGCACGGGUGCUUGCACCUGGUGGCGAGUGGCGAACGGGUGAGUAAUACAUCGGAACAUGUCCUGUAGUGGGGGAUAGCCCGGCGAAAGCCGGAUUAAUACCGCAUACGAUCUACGGAUGAAAGCGGGGGACCUUCGGGCCUCGCGCUAUAGGGUUGGCCGAUGGCUGAUUAGCUAGUUGGUGGGGGAAAGGCCUACCAAGGCGACGAUCAGUAGCUGGUCUGAGAGGACGACCAGCCACACUGGGACUGAGACACGGCCCAGACUCCUACGGGAGGCAGCAGUGGGGAAUUUUGGACAAUGGGCGAAAGCCUGAUCCAGCAAUGCCGCGUGUGUGAAGAAGGCCUUCGGGUUGUAAAGCACUUUUGUCCGGAAAGAAAUCCUUGGCUCUAAUACAGUCGGGGGAUGACGGUACCGGAAGAAUAAGCACCGGCUAACUACGUG